GACAGAGGUGCCGAGCGUUAGGCGGAAUCACUGGGCUUAAAGCGUGUGUAGGCGGGCGGGCAAGUACCUUGUGAAAUCCCACGGCUCAACCGCGGAACGGCUGGGUAUACUGCCUGUCUUGAGCCAGCUAGGGGCGAGCGGAACAGACGGUGGAGCGGUGAAAUGCGUAGAUAUCGUCUGGAACGCCGAAGGUGAAAACAGCUCGCUGGGGCUGUGCUGACGCUGAGACACGAAAGCCAGGGGAUCGAACGGG
rnacentral:rRNA from 1 species